rnacentral:rRNA from 1 species
GACGUAGGGCGCGAGCGUUGUCCGGAUUUAUUGGGCGUAAAGAGCUCGUAGGCGGCUUGUUGCGUCGACUGUGAAAACCCGCGGCUUAACUGCGGGCUUGCAGUUGAUACGGGCAGGCUAGAGUUCGGUAGGGGAGACUGGAAUUUACGGUGUAGCGGUGAAAUGCGUAGAUAUCGUAAGGAAGACCAGUGGCGAAGGCGGGUCUCUGGACAGUUCCUGACGCUGAGGCACGAAGGCCAGGGGAGCAAACGGG